GAAAGGUCAACAUAAAUUCAAAGCUAUUUUUCAUUGAAGCUCUGAUGGACUCAGACUCUAAAGGAAAUAAGUUCGGAUGGACACGUCAACAGUCUGGGUGACUCUGACCAGUUUUGUGUUCUUCGAAUGGAAGGUCGUUUUCUGAAGGUAAAUCGACAUAAUCAGAAUAAGCAGCGGAAAAAAAAUUCGAUUUACUUUCCUUGGAUCAUUACGAAUUAAGACUUGAACCAGUG
rnacentral:lncRNA from 1 species